GGAAUAUUGCACAAUGGGGGAAACCCUGAUGCAGCAACGCCGCGUGAAGGAAGACGGUUUUCGGAUUGUAAACUUCUUUUCCUAGUGAAGUAGAAAGUGAUUGUAGCUAAGGAAUAAGCAUCGGCUAACUACGUGCCAGCAGCCGCGGUAAUACGGAGGAUGCGAGCGUUAUCCGGAAUUACUGGGUGUAAAGGGAGCGCAGGCGGGACUGCAAGUUGGAUGUGCAAUGCCGCAGCUUAACUGCGGAGCUGCAUCCAAAACUGUAGUUCUUGAGUGGAGUAGAGGCAAGCGGAAUUCCGAGUGUAGCGGUGAAAUGCGUAGAUAUUCGGAGGAACACCAGUGGCGAAGGCGGCUUGCUGGGCACUAACUGACGCUGAGGCUCGAAAGUGUGGGGAGCAAAC
rnacentral:rRNA from 1 species